GACGAACGCUGGCGGCGUGCUUAACACGUGCAAGUCGAACGGAAAGGCCCUGCUUUUGUGGGGUGCUCGAGUGGCGAACGGGUGAGUAACACGUGAGUAACCUGCCCUUGACUUUGGGAUAACUUCAGGAAACUGGGGCUAAUACCGGAUAGGAGCUCCUGCUGCAUGGUGGGGGUUGGAAAGUUUCGGCGGUUGGGGAUGGACUCGCGGCUUAUCAGCUUGUUGGUGGGGUAGUGGCUUACCAAGGCUUUGACGGGUAGCCGGCCUGAGAGGGUGACCGGCCACAUUGGGACUGAGAUACGGCCCAGACUCCUACGGGAGGCAGCAGUGGGGAAUAUUGCACAAUGGGCGGAAGCCUGAUGCAGCAACGCCGCGUGCGGGAUGACGGCCUUCGGGUUGUAAACCGCUUUCGCCUGUGACGAAGCGUGAGUGACGGUAAUGGGUAAAGAAGCACCGGCUAACUACGUGC
rnacentral:rRNA from 1 species